AGUCCUGUUGUAAAUUCAGAAUCUGAGCAGUGGUCAUUUUAUGAAUCAGUAAAUUACUGCCUUACCCAUAACAACUUUGACUGUUAAAUGUUUUGUUUUCUUUUAAAGCCCAUCGCCGAAGCACCAUUCAAGUUCGACAUGGAAUUGGAUGACUUGCCUAAGGAAAAGCUCAAAGAACUAAUUUUUGAAGAGACUGCUAGAUUCCAGCCAGGAUACAGAUCUUAAAUUUGUCAGGACAAGGGCUCAGAGGACUGGACGUGCUCAGACAUCGGUGUUCUUCUUCCCAGUUCUUGACCCCUGGUCCUGUCUCCAGCCCGUCUUGGCUUAUCCACUUUGACUCCUUUGAGCCGUUUGGAGGGGCGGUUUCUGGUAGUUGUGGCUUUUAUGCUUUCAAAGAAUUUCUUCAGUCCAGAGAAUUCCUCCUGGCAGCCCUGUGUGUGUCACCCAUUGGUGACCUGCGGCAGUAUGUACUUCAGUGCACCUACUGCUUA
rnacentral:ncRNA from 2 species